rnacentral:rRNA from 1 species
CAGUCGCCGCGGUAAAACGAAGGGGGCUAGCGUUGUUCGGAAUUACUGGGCGUAAAGCGCACGUAGGCGGAUAUUUAAGUCAGGAGUGAAAUCCCAGAGCUCAACUCUGGAACUGCCUUUGAUACUGGGUAUCUUGAGUAUGGAAGAGGUGAGUGGAAUUCCGAGUGUAGAGGUGAAAUUCGUAGAUAUUCGGAGGAACACCAGUGGCGAAGGCGGCUCACUGGUCCAUUACUGACGCUGAGGUGCGAAAGCGUGGGGAGCAAACAGGAUUAGAUACCCCAGUAGUCCCUGUCUCUUAUAA